rnacentral:rRNA from 1 species
UGAGCAAUCUGCCCUUCUCUUUGGAAUAAGCGUUGGAAACGACGUCUAAUGCCGAAUACGACCUCCUUUCGCAUGAUCGGAGGUGGAAAGCUCCGGCGGAGAAGGAUGAGCUCGCGGCCUAUCAGCUAGUUGGUGUGGGUAAUGGCCCACAAGGCGACGACGGGUAGCCGGCCUGGAGAGGGUGACCGGCCACGACGUGGGACUGAGACACGGCCCAGACCUCCGUACGGGGA